AUAGAUACGUCAAAAUGACUUCUGCAGGCAGGGCCCAGGCAAAAGAAUCAGCCAAUUAGCUCAGCAAACUUGGAUUCAAUCAAACAGUUAUCUAAAUAGCGACUGCAGAUUCAUCAAGUCAGGCCCAAAAUAGUAGACGUGACAGCACAUUCCUACACUGAGAAGGUGAAUCCAAUCAGACAAUUAGCUCAAGGCAGGUGAUUCCAAUCAGCAAAUUACCUCAACUCAGACACAAAGGAAGCAUCAUUCCUUGUUGCUCACUUCUGAAAAACAAAAAUGCACUGAGGUUAUGAAACAUUCAUUGCCAGGUCAAGGGUGACCCUUCUCUUUCUGGUAAACAUAGGACCAGAAAUAAAAUAGCCUCAGUUUAAAGGCUCUCACUC
rnacentral:lncRNA from 1 species